rnacentral:rRNA from 1 species
GAUGAACGCUGGCGGCGUGCCUAAUACAUGCAAGUCGAGCGAACAGAUGAGGAGCUUGCUCCUCUGACGUUAGCGGCGGACGGGUGAGUAACACGUGGAUAACCUACCUAUAAGACUGGGAUAACUUCGGGAAACCGGAGCUAAUACCGGAUAAUAUAUUGAACCGCAUGGUUCAAUAGUUAAAUACGGUUUUUCUUUCACUUAUAGAUUGAUCCGCGCCGCAUUAGCUAGUUGGUAAGGUAACUGCUUACCAAGGCAACGAUGCGUAGCAGACCUGAGAGGGUGAUCGGCAACACUGGAACUGAGACACGGUCCAGAAUCCGACGGGAGGCAGCAGUAGGGAAUCUUCCGCAAUGGGCGAAAGCAUGACGGAGCAACGCCGCGUGAGUGAUGAAGGUCUUCGGAUCGUAAAACUCUGUUAUUAGGGAAGAAAAAAUGUGUAAGUAACUAUGCACGUCUUGACGGUACCUAAUCAGAAAGCCACGGCUAACUACGUG